CAAUGGGCGCAAGCCUGACGGAGCAAGACCGCGUGGGGGAAGAAGGCUCUUGGGUUGUAAACCCCUUUUCUUUGGGAAGAACAAAAUGACGGUACCAGAGGAAUCAGCAUCGGCUAACUCCGUGCCAGCAGCCGCGGUAAGACGGAGGAUGCAAGCGUUAUCCGGAAUGAUUGGGCGUAAAGCGUCCGCAGGUGGCAGUUCAAGUCUGCUGUCAAAGACCGGGGCUUAACAUCGGAAAGGCAGUGGAAACUGAACAGCUAGAGUAUGGUAGGGGCAAAGGGAAUUCCUGGUGUAGCGGUGAAAUGCGUAGAGAUCNGGAAGAACAUCNGUGGCGAAAGCGCUNUGCUGGACCAUAACUGACACUCAGGGACGAAAGCUAGGGGAGCGAAUGGGAUUAGAUACCCCAGUAGUCCUAUGCCGUAAAACGAUGGAUAACUAGGUGUUGUGUGUAUCGAUCCCCGGAUCAGUGCCGUAAG
rnacentral:rRNA from 1 species